rnacentral:rRNA from 1 species
CAGCAGCCGCCGCGGGAAUACGGAGGGAGCUAGCGUUGUUCGGAAUUACUGGGCGUAAAGCGCGCGUAGGCGGUUACUCAAGUCAGAGGUGAAAGCCCGGGGCUCAACCCCGGAACUGCCUUUGAAACUAGGUGACUAGAGUCUUGGAGAGGUCAGUGGAAUUCCGAGUGUAGAGGUGAAAUUCGUAGAGAUCUGGAGGAAUACCGGUGGCGAAGGCGGCCCCCUGGACAAAGACUGACGCUCAGGUGCGAAAGCGUGGGGAGCAAACAGGAUUAGAUACCCGCGUAGUCCCUGUCUCUUAUAC